rnacentral:lncRNA from 1 species
CAGCCUUUGGAUGAAGAUGUAGAACUCUCAGCUCUGCCUGUGCCAUGCCUGCCUGGAUGCUGCUGUGCUCUCACCUUGAUGACAAUGGACUGAACCUCUGACUGAACCUGUCUUUAACUGACUGCGUGAGACCCACCCACAUUGGGAGGUAAUCUGCUGUACUCAUACUGUCUAUUCAAGUGUUAAGCACAUUCAGAAACAGUUUCAUGGGCACACCAAGGAUAAUGUUUAACCAAAUAUCUGGAUACCCGCCACUCCAUGGAGAUGAGACAUAACAUGGCUUACCACAGUGGGUGAUGGUUCCUCUCUUGAGGUUUGAGUGCUGUUUCCCCCAUGAUCCAACUCAAAGUCUUCACUGCAUUCUGCAAGGAGUGCAGUUCAUAAACAGUGUUGUGCGUCUCUCAAGUUGCACACCAGCAGGUCAAUUUGAAGAUUGACAUCUUCAUCAUAUUGAUCUUCUGGUCCAUGAAGACUGGCCUAUGUGUGACUUUGCCUACGGUUUCUUGACUCUGGCUGGCUGGCAUUUUAUACUCUCCAGUCUGUAGCUGCUGAAGUACCUGUAUUAAAUGUAAUCUUAGGUGUUGGCUUGAGACUACGUCCGUUCAGCCUUUAUUCCUGUUGAAUAGUUUGGUGCAUUGAUCCUAUCGGACGGCCAGUCCAUCUUUGGCUGCACAGGAGGGGAGAACAGAGUCCCAUACUGUGGUACAUUCCGCACUGCUGAGAUGCUCUGAUUAUUCCAUGCACAUUAUUGGACAUUUGAGUGACGUUGAGUCAUUUCAACCUAAUGAACUGAUUGGAAGCUGACUCGCCCCGAGACCUGCUCUCUUCCCAUGCGCCUGUUGGGUAACCACCAGAGAAGACUGCUCAGGCAUGAAUGUUCCAACAGAUGUCUUCUUUGCAUCUUUCCAGCUGUUCCGGGAGUCUUGGAUAGACCCCCCUACCAGCCAUUUGGUUCCCAAAGCCUCAUUUCGUUGGAACAUUCCAUUCCCUGUAGCAAUCGUCCUUUGUUUGUUGCGGCAUAACAAAUUACUUCACGAAUUUGAGGUUUAAAAACAACUAUUUAUUAUUUCUCAUGACUCUGCGGGUUGACUUGGCCUGUUUCCUGCUUUACAUUCGGCAUCUGUCGGGCAGAAAGAGUUGAGUCUCCAACACUGGCUCGCAUACAUGCCCCAUGCCUGGGUUGGGGGUGGCAGAAGAGGUGGCCUCCGCUGGGCUGCUGGCACACUUGGCCGUUCUCCCUGCUGCAUGCAGACCUAGGCCACCUCCUUCCCACAGCUCCUCCCUUCAUGGUGGCUCCAGUGUAAAUGGUGCUUUCGUUCCCAUGGCCCGCUGCUUCCCUGUGAGGCUUUCUUCGGUCCAUUGUCUCUUGGCCACCAAUAAAAGAAGCAACAGGCAAAGAAUGGGGCCUCAGAGACCUUUCCCGUCUCUGCUUUAGAUGUCCUCUAUGGUGUUUUGAAAACAGCUUGCAUCUUUCUCAGUGACUGAUAUUGGAGACAUUUUUGGUAGUCUUACCACUUCCUGAAGUGGGUGAGCAAAGGUGACAGGAGAGGGAAUGGGGAUGUAUGUGGGUGAAUUUGUUCAGAACUCUAAGAAAAGUGUUGAGGGCUUGGUUAUGAUUAGCAACUGCAUGAUACUUUUGGUAUUAUUGCUCUCCUUUUAGAUCUAAAAAUGUCAUCUGCUUACACAUCUUACUUUAAAAUUGAUAAAUCCCUUUAUCUUUAGCUUCCUAACAUGCCCUAAAGAUUGAAGAAAUAUUUUCAUUUUUAUUCAAUAAAUAAUAUUUCCCAAA